rnacentral:rRNA from 1 species
UGGGUAACCUGCCUCAAAGAGGGGAAUAGCCUCCCGAAAGGGAGAUUAAUACCGCAUAAUAUGUUUAAGUCGCAUGACUUUAACAUCAAAGGAUUUUCUUUUAGAAAUUCCACUUUGAGAUGGACCCGCGGCGCAUUAGCUAGUUGGUGAGGUAACGGCUCACCAAGGCAACGAUGCGUAGCCGACCUGAGAGGGUGAUCGGCCACAUUGGGACUGAGACACGGUCCAGACUCCGUAGGAG